CUCAGCCGGCUAAUGUUUCCUGUGUCCACACACUGAAAUCCUAGCGAAGCGGAGAAUCAGAAUCCGAAGGGCCCAGAAAGGAUGAGAAGCUUGUCUGGGCGCCUAGUUGGUGCUGAGAGCCCUUGACGGGGGCCCUGGAGAAGACCUUCGCCUUCCAAACCAGCCCUCUCCCUCAAAGCACAACUGUUGAUUUAACCAGUUUCCAGUAACCAGGAGGAACCCUCAAGCUUUUGUCUUUUCCAGCCAUUUGUUCAAUCUGCAGAAUAUCCAGGCUCAUCACGUUGACCUCACCAAAGUGCACUAGACCAGACUGAAAGCGAAAUCAGUUUAUUGGACUUCCCGCGGUGCAGAAUGUCUUCCUUCAUCAUGCAUGCAGCUGGGAGGAAGGAUUCCACCUCUUUCUGCAUUCUUCUCACUUCUGGAUAUGGAAAUGACCACUUGCAGAGUAAAUGACCUGCACACCCGGACAAGCUGCACCUUCUCACAUUACCCAAAACUCAGCACAUGUUAUCCCUGAACCUUUGGCUUCUGGAAUCGAUUUCCCCAUUCCCUUCACUUAGAGUUAGUUCCACCAUUGCUGAAAUUCCUGAGUUCAUCCUCUUGGAAUCUUUCUCCACAAGCAACAUGGAAGGGAAGUUGUCAGAACUACCCAGAUGGCCAGACAUGGUGGUGCAUGCCUGUAAUCCCAGCAUUUUGGGAGGCCAAAGUGGGAGGAUUGUUUGAAGCCAGG